rnacentral:rRNA from 1 species
UUCCUGUACCACCUAUAAUCGUUUUAAUCGAUGGGGGGACGCAGUAGGAUAGGCGAAGCGUGCGAUUGGAUUGCACGUCUAAGCAGUAAGGCUGAGUAUUAGGCAAAUCCGGUACUCGUUAAGGCUGAGCUGUGAUGGGGAGAAGACAUUGUGUCUUCGAGUCGUUGAUUUCACACUGCCGAGAAAAGCCUCUAGAUAGAAAAUAGGUGCCCGUACCGCAAACCGACACAGGUAGUCAAGAUGAGAAUUCUAAGGUGAGCGAGCGAACUCUCGUUAAGGAACUCGGCAAAAUGACCCCGUAACUUCGGGAGAAGGGGUGCUCUUUAGGGUUAACGCCCAGAAGAGCCGCAGUGAAUAGGCCCAAGCGACUGUUUAUCAAAAACACAGGUCUCUGCUAAACCGUAAGGUGAUGUAUAGGGGCUGACGCCUGCCCGGUGCUGGAAGGUUAAGAGGAGUGGUUAGCUUCUGCGAAGCUACGAAUCGAAGCCCCAGUAAACGGCGGCCGUAACUAUAACGGUCCUAAGGUAGCGAAAUUCCUUGUCGGGUAAGUUCCGACCCGCACGAAAGGCGUAACGAUUUGGGCACUGUCUCAACGAGAGACUCGGUGAAAUCAUAGUACCUGUGAAGAUGCAGGUUACCCGCGACAGGACGGAAAGACCCCGUGGAGCUUUACUGUAGCCUGAUAUUGAAAUUCGGCACAGCUUGUACAGGAUAGGUAGGAGCCUUUGAAACGUGAGCGCUAGCUUACGUGGAGGCGCUGGUGGGAUACUACCCUAGCUGUGUUGGCUUUCUAACCCGCACCACUUAUCGUGGUGGGAGACAGUGUCAGGCGGGCAGUUUGACUGGGGCGGUCGCCUCCUAAAAGGUAACGGAGGCGCUCAAAGGUUCCCUCAGAAUGGUUGGAAAUCAUUCAUAGAGUGUAAAGGCAUAAGGGAGCUUGACUGCGAGACCUACAAGUCGAGCAGGGUCGAAAGACGGACUUAGUGAUCCGGUGGUUCCGCAUGGAAGGGCCAUCGCUCAACGGAUAAAAGCUACCCCGGGGAUAACAGGCUUAUCUCCCCCAAGAGUUCACAUCGACGGGGAGGUUUGGCACCUCGAUGUCGGCUCAUCGCAUCCUGGGGCUGUAGUCGGUCCCAAGGGUUGGGCUGUUCGCCCAUUAAAGCGGUACGCGAGCUGGGUUCAGAACGUCGUGAGACAGUUCGGUCCCUAUCCGUCGUGGGCGUAGGAAAUUUGAGAGGAGCUGUCCUUAGUACGAGAGGACCGGGAUGGACAUACCUCUGGUGUACCAGUUGUCGUGCCAACGGCAUAGCUGGGUAGCUAUGUGUGGACGGGAUAAGUGCUGAAAGCAUCUAAGCAUGAAGCCCCCCUCAAGAUGAGAUUUCCCAACUUCGGUUAUAAGAUCCCUCAAAGAUGAUGAGGUUAAUAGGUUCGAGGUGGAAGCAUGGUGACAUGUGGAGCUGACGAAUACUAAUCGAUCGAAGACUUAAUCAAAA